GGCCGCCAUUUUUGGAAGGGUGGGAGGAGGAAGGCGGGGAGGCGCGGCGCCGGCUCCGCGGGAUGCUGACUGGACUUGGAGGCUAGAGGUAGUACGCCGGGGCCAGGGCGGCACGGUUGGCCGGCGCCCUUCCUCCGGGUGCUCCUGCGGAAUGAGGCUUCGGCGCCCGCGCGGGACGACGCGCUUCCUCCUCAGAGCGAAUCCUAGGAGAGGCCGAAGCCGCCGCGAUGCCGGGGAAGCUGAAGGUGAAAAUCGUGGCCGGUCGCCAUUUGCCGGUGAUGGACCGUGCCAGCGACCUGACGGAUGCCUUCGUGGAGGUAAAAUUUGGUAAUACAACCUUUAAGACAGAUGUGUACCUCAAGUCACUCAAUCCUCAGUGGAACUCGGAGUGGUUUAAAUUUGAGGUGGAUGAUGAAGAUUUACAAGAUGAACCUCUGCAGAUCACAGUUCUUGACCACGAUACUUACAGUGCAAACGAUGCUAUUGGCAAGGUGUACAUUGACAUCGAUCCUUUACUGUAUAGUGAAGCUGCAACAGUCAUCUCAGGGUGGUUCCCAAUUUAUGACACCAUACAUGGUAUCCGUGGAGAAAUCAAUGUGGUUGUCAAAGUAGACCUCUUCAAUGAUUUAAACAGAUUUAGACAGUCAUCAUGUGGAGUCAAAUUCUUUUGCACAACAUCUAUUCCAAAGUGCUACAGAGCUGUGGUGAUCCAUGGAUUUGUAGAAGAACUUGUGGUCAAUGAAGACCCUGAAUAUCAAUGGAUUGAUCGUAUUCGCACACCAAGGGCAUCAAAUGAGGCCAGACAGAGACUUAUUUCUUUAAUGUCAGGUGAAUUACAGAGAAAGAUUGGCUUGAAAGUACUUGAGAUGAGAGGAAAUGCAGUUGUUGGGUACUUGCAGUGUUUUGAUCUGGAAGGCGAGUCUGGGUUAGUGGUACGAGCCAUAGGAACAGCGUGUACUCUGGAUAAAUUAAGUAGCCCAGCAGCAUUCCUUCCUGCAUGUAAUUCCCCAUCCAAAGAAAUGAAGGAGAUUCCCUUCAAUGAAGAUCCCAAUCCCAAUCCUCACUCAUCAGGACCCUCAACCCCUCUGAAAAACCAAACUUAUUCCUUUUCACCUUCCAAGUCCUACAGUCGACAGUCCUCUUCUUCUGACACAGACUUGAGUUUGACACCCAAGACUGCACCUUACCCACAGGGGCCUGGGAUCUACCUGUGCCCCAGCUCCACCCCCCUCUCUUGUGGUUCCCUUCACCUUAAGUCCCGCCUCCUCUCGGAAUCUAGCCUUACCCCUCAUCACUCUAGCCUUGUCAGCCCCGUUCUGAGGAAAAGUGUUUCUUUCAGUGAAGAGCUGUUCCUGGCUGCUUCUGGAAUGGGAAGUGGUAGUGCUGGAAAAGAAGGGGGGCCCUUUAAAGCUCUUCUGCGACAACAGACUCAGUCGGCGUUGGAACAGCGGGGAGGAUCGCCUCAUAGGUUCUGUAGAAGGCGGGAAUUCCCCUUCCUCACCUUGACGGCCUUUCCUCCUGGACUCCUCGUGCAUGUCGGUGGUGUGGUUAGUGCACGCUCUGUGAAGCUUUUAGAUCGGAUCCACAAUCCUGCCUUUGUCGGAAUUAUGGGUAACACAAGAUCUUACAAACUGCUAGACUGGAAUAGUUUCAAUUCAGAUGAACCAGAAACUCGAGAUGCAUGGUGGGCAGAAAUCAGACAAGAGAUAAAGUCACAUGCUAAAGCCUUAGGCUGCCAUGCUGUAGUGGGCUACAGCGAGUCAACUAGCAUCUGUGAAGAAGUCUGUAUUUUAUCGGCAUCUGGCACGGCAGCUGUACUGAACCCGCGGUUUCUGCAGGAAGGCACUGUGGAGGGCUCUUUGGAUCAGAGGAUUGAAGAAAAUUUGCCUGUGGGCUGUGGAUUCUGCCAUAUACCAUAUGAUGAACUAAACAUGCCGUUUCCAGCUCAUCUCACAUAUUGUUACAACUGCAGGAAACAAAAAGUUCCUGAUGUUCUCUUUACAACAAUAGACCUGCCCACUGAUGCAGUCGUUGUUGGAAAAGGUUGUCUUAUUCAGGCAAGGUUAUGUCGCUUAAAAAAGAAAGCCCAGGCAGAAGCCAAUGCUACAGCUAUCAGUAAUCUCCUGCCAUUUAUGGAGUAUGAAGUCCACACUCAGUUGAUGAACAAGCUUAAACUCAAAGGAAUGAAUGCUUUGUUUGGACUAAGAAUUCAGAUCACAGUGGGUGAAAACAUGUUGAUGGGCUUAGCGUCGGCCACAGGGGUCUACUUAGCAGCUUUACCAACACCCGGUGGUAUCCAGAUUGCUGGGAAGACCCCUAAUGAUGGCUCCUAUGAACAGCACAUCUCUCACAUGCAGAAGAAAAUAAAUGACACGAUCGCCAGAAACAAAGAACUGUAUGAAAUCAAUCCUCCGGAGGUACCUGAAGAGAUUCUAGGGUCACCCAUCCCAGAACCUAGACAGCGCUCAAGACUUUUAAGAUCGCAGUCAGAAAGUUCUGAUGAAGUUACAGAAUUAGACCUUUCACAUGGGAAAAAAGAUGCAUUUGUUUUAGAGAUCGAUGACACUGAUGCCAUGGAAGAUGUGCACUCCCUCCUUACUGAUGUUCCCCCUCCUUCAGGUUUUUAUAGUUGUAAUACAGAAAUUAUGCCUGGCAUAAAUAAUUGGACAUCAGAAAUACAGAUGUUCACAUCAGUAAGAGUGGUCAGACUGAGCAGCCUCAACCUGACUAACCAAGCUCUCAAUAAGAACUUCAACGGCCUGUGUGAGAACUUGCUCAAGAGCUUAUAUUUCAAACUCCGGUCCAUGACCCCCUGCUGCCUGUGCCAUGUGAACUUUACAGUGUCUCUGCCUGAAGACGAGUUAAUCCAGGUUACAGUCACAGCAGUUGCAAUAACUUUUGAUAAAAACCAGGCCUUACAGACCACAAAAGCCCAUGUCGAAAAGUCACUGCAGAGAGCCUCCACAGAUAAUGAAGAGCUGCUGCAGUUCCCUCUGGAGCUCUGCUCAGACUCACUGCCUUCUCAUGCUUUCCCAGCGACUAAAGAACACCUGGAGAGUGCGAGUUCUAACUCAGGUACACCAGCUGCACAGAGAGCAACGUCAGUUGAUUACAGUUCCUUUGCAGACAGAUGCAGCAGCUGGAUAGAGCUCAUUAAACUGAAAGCUCAGACCAUAAGGCGCGGAUCAAUUAAGACAACUGUGACGGUUGAGAAAGCAAGUCCCAUGGGUGAUGGAAAUUUCCGGAAUCGCUCUGCUCCACCUUGUGCAAGUUCCACAGUCGGAGUUGUUAAGAUGACGCCUCUUUCUUUCAUUCCUGGAGCAAAGAUAACAAAAUAUCUCGGCAUCAUUAACAUGUUUUUUAUUAGAGAAACUACUUCUCUCCGUGAGGAAGGAGGAGUCAGUGGCUUCCUCCAUGCUUUCAUUGCUGAAGUGUUUGCCAUGGUAAGAGCUCAUGUUGCUGCACUGGGAGGGAAUGCUGUUGUUUCCUACAUUAUGAAGCAGUGUGUCUUCAUGGAGAAUCCAAGUAAGAACCAGGGCAUCGAAGGGGUGCUAGUGAGAGCAGUGUCACCAUCCCCACAGAGGCUGAACAAGCCAGAUGCCUUGAUUUCAGUAUCUGCAAUCCAUGGAGGAAAUUCUUUCAUUUCCAGUUUGCUGAAGUCAAAGGCAAGUUCUGGAAUUUUGGGGCUAGUUUGUCUCCUGAUGCUCAGGACUGGGCCUAUAACAUAUCUAAAGGAGCAACAAUCCUGUCUGUCCUAUUGGGUAGGGAGGGAUGCCUCAGUGUCAGGAUAAUAUAAGAAUGGAACUGUUGCUGGAGUUAUAUAGCUCAGUGGGAGGGUACCUGCUUGGCAUGUUCAAGGCCCUGGGCUUGACCCCCUACCUAGACCUUCAAGCAAAAUCAAACCAGCGAUAAUGAAAACUUUCCCCAUCAUGGGAAGCCUUUAAAGGGUUUACCUCAUUCAGUCUUUAUAACAACUCCGUAGGGUUGUUAUAUUCAUUUAUAAAUGAAUGAGACAAGUCAUUAGUUGAGUAAAUUAAUACUUUACAUAAAGGAUACUGUGAUUAAAUGGUGGGACCGUGGACUUGAACCCGGGAAGUCUAAUUCUUAAACAUAGACUCCUGUUUUUAUUUUGCUUUAUGUGCAUGAGUAUUUUGCCUGCAUGUCUGUGAACUGUGUGCAUGUCCGGUGCCUACAGAGGUCAGACAAGAACACUGGAUCCCCUGGAACUAGAGUUACAGAUGGUUGUGAGCUGCCAUUGCUGGGAAUUGAACUACGUCCUCGGUCCUCUGGAGGAAGAGCCAGUGCUCUUAAUCCCUGAACCAUCUCUCCAGCCCCAACAUGAGAUCUCUUUGUUGUUGCUGUCGUUGUUUGUUUUGAGUGACAAAAACUGUUUAGCUCUGGCCAGUCUCCAUUUGUGACUCUCUUCAGGCUGACUGGGGCUAGGAUGACUGCAUGAGGAGGGAGUGGGGACAAUGACUUCAAUGAAGAGCUAACUUGCUCCUCUCCAACCAAUGCAUUUUUUUUUCUCCAUGGAUUUUCUCUUUUAUUACGACCUUAUAAUCCGAGUCUUAAUCCAAGACUCGGAUUAUAAUCCACAUGGCAUUUUGUUAAAUAUUCAGCUUGAUGGAGAAUGUGUUGUGUAUAUGCAGAAAUUCACACUUUUAUUUGUAUGCAACUUUAGACCCAUUUAAUCCUUAAUCUGGUUUUCCCCAAAUAUUCACAAAACUUUGAACAACUAUAACACAAAACUUAAUGUGGCCAAUUAAAUUUUCCAAAUACAGACACAUUAUCUUAACAUGGUCUUUAAUCUUUUUACAUGUAUUUAUUUAAAUGUAAAAUGGGGGGAGGGGCACACAGGUGCCUGGUCAUGAACAUGCCGAGAUGUGCAUGUGGGGGUCAGAAGUCCUGUAGGGGUGGUUCUAUCCUUCCACCGUGUGGGUCAGAGGAUUGAACAAGUCGUCCAACUUAGAAGCAAGCACUUUACCUGCUGAUCUAUUUCUCUGGCCCUUAGACUUUCCUUUUUAUCUAUUUUAUUUUAUGUACGUGGAUGUUUUGCCUGAAACAUAUGUCCACACCCCUAGUGUGUGCAGUACUGGUAGAGGGUCGGAUCCCUUGGGACUGGAGGCAUAGACAGUUGUGAUCUGCGGUGUGGGUACUGGGAAAGCAGUCAAUGUUUUUAACCACUGAGAGUCAUCUCCAGCCCUCUGGACGUUUCCUCAAGCGCUGUGAAGUCACUGCCGUGUUCCUAAAGCAACAUCGUUCUUCGGAGGAUCAUCUUCAGCCCUCUGAACGGUUCCUCAAGCGCUGCGAAGUCACGGCAGUGUUCCUAAAGCAACAUCGUUUUCCCAUUUCUGUCCCUAGACUCAGGCUAGAUUGUCUCCUUUCUCAUGGCUGUGGGAGAGUGACCCAUCUGCUGCUGUGUCUGUCACAGAGACUCGGGUACAUGAGUGGUAGAGACAUUCUCAAUUCCAGUACAUGGCCACCCCAUUUGCACCCUUGUCAGAGCAGUAGUCUCAGUCACUGGUACCUUCUCAGUUCGGAUGGAAUUUAAUCCACCCCUCAUUUCCAUCUCACUACCAGAAAUUAUCUCUGUGCCUACAAGUGUGAACCCAAUGUUGUAUUUUUAGCACCUUUCAGAAAAGAACAGAACUCAGCCCUUUAUCUAGAACCAAUCACAUCCGUCAGUAGCUCCAAACAUCUCCAGCUCAGAAACUCCAAUAAAAAGAGAUAAGAUCUCUAAUGCAGUGAUAUAUCCAGGCAGGCAUAAAGAUGUUAAAAGAGACCGAGAGCAGGAUUUCCUCACCCGGACACUGUCGCUGUUUGGGGUAGAAUAACGCCUUGCGGUGGGUGCAUCCCAGAAUCCCUAGCAGCAUUCCUGGCCCACACUGUGAGAUGCCAUCAGUACCUCACUCUUGCCUCAAAUGCCACAUCCACAAUAUCUCCAGAUAUUGUCGAAUUGGAAGGACAAAAUCUUCUAGAUUGAAAACCAUUGGUAGUCACGCAGUAGCAAAAGCACACGCUGGGAGCGGUGAGUAAGGCUCAAGGAGAACGGCCCCGCUUUCCAUAGCACCCGAGAUGAUGAUAGACAGGUGGGCUAGAGGAGCCUGCUUAACAUGCAACAGCUGGAGACUGGUAGAGAGCCCGGAAGACAGCAAGGGCGGAAAAGCAUGAGGCCUCUGAGAUGUCCAAAUGUGCUGUUUUCCGGGAUGAAUGGGGAUUGGUGACUGUCAGUGAGUGAGUCUAGGAACUUUAUGUAAGUGGAGUGUGGUGGCACACUCCUGUAACGUCAGCACACAGCAGAUUGCCAUGAGUUUGAGGCCACCCUGGGCCACAUAACUAGUACCAGAGCUGCAUAACAUGACGGUGACUUGAAUUAGGACAUGUAUCACAAACGCUCAAGUAUUUGAAUGCUUGGUCCCCAGUUAGUGGAACCAUUUGGGGGAGGUUAUGGACCCUCAGGAGGUGGAGCCUUGCUGGAGGAAGCGCGUCACUAGAACAGACUUUGAGCGUCUGUAGCCUCACCAUUUCCAGUUCACUUUCUGCUUUGUGGCUGAAGACAUCUUCUCCUAGCUUCCAGCUUUGACUGCCAGCUCCCACAUCUCUGACGUUAUGGGCUCCCGGUCUGGAACUGUAAGCCAAGAUAAACUAUUUUUUCCCCCUAAGUUGCUUUUGGUCAUGGUAUUUUAUCACAGCAACAAAGUAACUAAUGCACUGAUCUUAUCUCAACAAAGAAGGGUACAAAACAAUUUUUACAGAUUUUUGUUUUGUUUUGCUGAUAUGGGAGGUUGGCCUCACACCCACUGUGUAACCUGAGGAUGCCCUUGGACGUAGGAUCCUCUCAUCUCUGGCUUCCUAGUGUUGGGGUACAGGCAUGCAUCACCACACCUGCUUUAGGUGGUGCUAGGGGUCAAACCCAGGGCUCUGUGAAUGCUAGGCAAACGUCCUACCAACUGAGCUGCACCCAGCCCUUUAAAUAUUUAUGUUAAGUGCUCCUGGGAAGGCAUGUGAAGACAACUGUGUUUUAGGUGUCAGUGAUUUGUAUAAACAUUCUGCUAUAUUAAGAUGUAUAAACUGGAGAACACAGUAUAUAGUUGAGGUCUAUUCUUACUUCAUCCCAGAAAACAGUGCCGUGAGUGACAACCCUGGGAAUCUGGUAUGUUGUCUGCUAACCUUUACGUUAUGCUGUUCUCACUAGUCUCUCUUGUAUUCCCAAGGCCUUUUUAAGGAAUGGAAGAUGACUCGAAGGAGGUGGUGGUGCUUAUUUCCUGAGGCAUGAAGACGCUCAGGCCUUACUGUAUGGUUACAAUGUUUUAAGACAUCCUAUCCUUAUAGACCGCGUUAAGCUGACGUCAGAUCAACCACCACAGCCCUGGAGUCUUCCUUUAGUUCGUUGGCAGAAACUGAGGCAGUGCAGCCUUGUGACAUGAAAUUCAUGUCAGUGUUUCUCAGAGCUCAAGUCUACUCAGCAGGUCUGAACUAAAGGCAUACUCCUCUGAAAGGUCACCACGGCUUUUUCUCUGAUUGUUUUUCUAAAGAUUCUUCACCUAAGGGCUGGGGAGAUGCCCUAAAGGAUAAAAUGCUUGCUCUGCAAGCCUAAUGACCUCAAUUCGGAUCCUCACAGUGCACAAAAUGGGGGUGAUGAUGGCACACACGUGUGAUCCCAGGGUUCCCAUGGCACUAUGGGAGGUGGAGACAGGGGGAUCCCAGAAGUUCAAGUGUCUGCUAGUCUGCUCGUACUCAGUGGUGGACAAGAGGCUAUCUCCAAUGAGGUGGCAAGUGAGGUCUGACUCCUGAAGUUGUCAGACCUGAAAGGUUUGGUUUUGAUCUGGUAUUUACCCUGCAGCAGCUUCGUUCUUAGUAUCUAAUAAACCCUGUCACCCCAGACUGUACCACGUUCAGUUAGUGUACAGCCAUGGAUUCCCGUUGGAUAUCAGGCCUGUCAUCGUCUACCUGCUUAACAAGUGAAUGAACUAGCACCGGCUAACACUCCCCUUCACCCCCACCCCCAUUCCGUCGUCCAUCAGCAGCUGGAGCUAGCCUGUAUGGUGGCCAUUUCCCCACAUCAGAUCCUAACUAGGCACAGCCUGGCCAUGCGCUGGCUGUCAUGUUUCUUUUACUUUCCCCAUUAAAUAUGUGCUUUAAUCCCACGGGACCAGACUCCUCCCUGAGCUUUAGUGAUUAAAUAUCAAAGGGAACCUAUACUCUCUUGAUAACGGCAAUGCUACUCAUAGCAGUUGAGAAAUGGAAACCUCCCAAGUGUUCAUCAACUGAUGGGUGCAGAAAAUGUGGUACAUAAAACAACGGAGUCCUACUCAGCCAUUGAAGGAGUGAAACCCUGUCAUGUUUGGCAAUGUGAAUGAAAGUGGAGGUCAUUACGUUAAACCAAACAAGCCAGGGUGGGUGUGGUGGCUCCCUAUGGUAGUAGCAAAGCUGGGGGGGUGGAGACAUGCAGACCCCUUGGGGUCCCUGGGCAGCCUUCCAAGCCUGUUGUCAAGUUCUAGGCCUGUGACAGCCACUGUACCCCCCAAACACAGUGAGUGUCGCCUGAGGAGUUACAGUGGUGGUUGCCCUUGGCUCUCUACACACACGUGUGAACACAUGCACAUAAACCUGCACGUACAAUAAAACAGAGCAAACGACUCAAGGACUGGGGCACUGGUAAAAUGGUGGCCUGCUUUGCUGCAGGUUGUCAUUUAUGUGCUCGUAAUAAAAUGGUUCGUCUUCAUUGUCAAGUU